GACGGAGAAUGCAAGUGUUAUCCGGAAUCACUGGGCGUAAAGCGUCUGUAGGUGGUUCGAAAAGUCCUCUGUUAAAAAUUGAAGCUUAACUUCAAAGAUGCCGUGGAAACUUUCAGACUAGAGUGUGGUAGGGGUAGAGGGAAUUUCCAGUGGAGCGGUGAAAUGCGUAGAUAUUGGAAAGACCACCGAUGGCGAAGGCACUCUACUGGGCCAUUACUGACACUGAGAGACGAAAGCUAGGGGAGCAAAUGGG
rnacentral:rRNA from 1 species